rnacentral:rRNA from 1 species
AGCGAACGCUGGCGGCAGGCCUAACACAUGCAAGUCGAACGAACUCUUCGGAGUUAGUGGCGGACGGGUGAGUAACACGUGGGAACGUGCCUUUAGGUUCGGAAUAACUCAGGGAAACUUGUGCUAAUACCGAAUGUGCCCUUCGGGGGAAAGAUUUAUCGCCUUUAGAGCGGCCCGCGUCUGAUUAGCUAGUUGGUGAGGUAAAGGCUCACCAAGGCGACGAUCAGUAGCUGGUCUGAGAGGAUGAUCAGCCACAUUGGGACUGAGACACGGCCCA